GGUUAUGGUUAGGGUUAGGGUUGGAGCUAGGGUUAGGGUUAGGGUUAGGGUUGGAGUUAGGGUUAGUGUUGGAGCUAGGGUUAGGGUUGGGCUUGGAGCUAGGAUUUUUCUGAGUGCAAUGAACCAACUCCCGAGUCUCUUGGAUGUUCCUAAAAAAAUUUGAUUUUUUCCCAUAGGAAUGCAUGGGUUAGGGUUAGGGUUAGGGUUGGAGCUAGGGUUAGGGUUAGGGUUAGGGUUGGAGUUAGGGUUAGUGUUGGAGCUAGGGUUAGGGUUGGGCUUGGAGCUAGGAUUUUUCUGAGUGCAAUGAACCAACUCCCGAGUCUCUAGGACAUUCUUAAAAAAAUUUGAUUUUUUCCCAUAGGAAUGCAUAGGUUAGGGUUAGGGUUAGGGUUGGAGCUAGGGUUAGGGUUAGGGUUAGGGUUGGAGUUAGGGUUAGUGUUGGAGCUAGGGUUAGGGUUGGGCUUGGAGCUAGGAUUUUUCUGAGUGCACUGAACCAACUCCCGAGUCUCUAGGACAUUCCUAAAAAAAUUUGAUUUUUUCCCAUAGGAAUGCAUGGGUUAGGGUUAUGGUUAGGGUUGGAGCUAGGGUUAGGGUUAGGGUUAGGGUUGGAGUUAGGGUUAGUGUUGGAGCUAGGGUUAGGGUUGGGCUUGGAGCUAGGAUUUUUCUGAGUGCACUGAACCAACUC